rnacentral:tRNA from 4 species
AUUGGGGAAGUCUAAUCAGACAUUUGAUUUCGACUCAAAAGAACUUACCUGUAAGCCCCAAUA